rnacentral:rRNA from 1 species
AUUGAACGCUGGCGGCAGGCUUAACACAUGCAAGUCGAACGAGUGGCGGACGGGUGAGUAAUGCUUGGGAAUCUAGCUUAUGGAGGGGGAUAAAUACGGGAAACUGUAGCUAAUACCGCGUACCAUAGGAUGAGCCCAAGUGGGAUUAGGUAGUUGGUGAGGUAAAGGCUCACCAAGCCGACGAUCUCUAGCUGGUCUGAGAGGAUGACCAGCCACACUGGUACUGAGACACGGCCCAGACUCCGACGGGAUGCAGCAGUGGGGAAUAUUGCGCCAUGGUGGCAACCCUUACGCAGCCAUGCCGCGUGAAUUAAGAAUGCCUUCGGGUUGUAAAGUUCUUUCAGCGGGGAGGCGUUACCCGCAGAAGAAGCACCGGCUAACUCCGUGCCAGCAGCCGCGGUAAUUC